CUUUGAGGGGGAACAGACUUCAGGACGGACGACGGCGGUGACCUCAUUCUCGCCAGAACGUGGACGGCUGCGGUGUGGUGGCGUCUUUCAUGCACAGUUUAGAGAAACACGAGUCUUUAUGAGGUACAUAAUCCUGUGUUCGAUCAGCCCUCUGCACCUCUCUCUCUCUCUCUCUCUCUCUCUCUUCAGCGUGGCGUUGGACGGACCCUCUCUCACGCCUGUCUGACCCCCUCUCAUCAAGGCUGACCGUUUUCGUCUGGUGUUCAGAGUUUCCAUCAUGUCUAGCACCAUUUGAAAUCGGUUACAAUGUGGAGGGAAUAUCAACAAGUCCUCCGCUCCAGACCUGCAGGGUCCUCAAAUCACCACUAGGUGGCAACAUUGAGCUGUAAUCCACAGACACCGAGUUACCAGGAGACUUAAAAACCGUCUGUGGCUCAGUUUUAUUCACUCAGAGGUUUUAUUUCAGAUAAUUCAGUUUACCAUCGCUCAUUAGUGCUGUGUGUAAACCUCCACACUGACUCUGUUCUGCAGGAAGGAUGAUUAAUUAAUAUAAUUAAUAGAUUAUCUGGUCCAUUGAUCCAGCAGUGAAGAGAGUGAGUAUCCUUGCAGUGCAGCACCAACACAAAUAUAUGUGUUUUUUAUUUUACUGAGAAAUUAACCAUCAUACUGCCAAAAGAUUCAACUUACAGGGAGCAUGGAGGAGCCAAAGAUAAUGUGUAAAAGAGAAAUAAUCCCAGACGAAUGUUGUCCAAACAGGAUUAGACAGGAACAUUAAUAAGAAAGCCGGUACUGGAGCAGAACUUCAGAAGAUGAUCCACAUCCCUGGUUUGAGCUCAGACAGCAGGUUACUCUGUCCUUAGUCCCUGAAAAAUAACCACUGACUCAAACUAACAUCUUUCUCUUAUAAACUAACGAGUUUUUCUCAAACAGACUUAUCUCCUAAAGUUACGACUUCUUUCUCAAAAUUCUACAACUUUAUUUACAACAUUUUCUAUAAAAAAUGACUGCUGUUUUCCUCCAGUGUUAAACUUGGUUUCCUCCUGAAUUUGGCCAGAAUAUAGAAAAAAAAACAUUCAUAUAAUCAGAAACAAACUUAAACUGAUUUUGUUUGUAUUUAUUCCUGUAAAGUUUCUGUACGUGUGAAUUUUGUGUGAAAUGAUUAAAUGACAAUAAAAAUCUUUAAAACUCUGUCGGCUGAAUCUGUCCUCA